UUGACCUCGGAUCAGGUAGGGAUACCCGCUGAACUUAAGCAUAUCAAUAAGCGGAGGAAAAGAAACCAACCGGGAUUGCCCCAGUAACGGCGAGUGAAGCGGCAAGAGCUCAAAUUUGAAAGCUGGCCCCCCCGGGGUCCGCGUUGUAAUUUGCAGAGGAUGC
rnacentral:rRNA from 1 species